UAGGGAAUCUUCCACAAUGGACGAAAGUCUGAUGGAGCAACGCCGCGUGAGCGAAGAAGGUUUUCGGAUCGUAAAGCUCUGUUGUGAGGGAAGAACACGUACGAGAGUAACUGCUCGUACCUUGACGGUACCUCAUUAGAAAGCCACGGCUAACUACGUGCCAGCAGCCGCGGUAAUACGUAGGUGGCAAGCGUUGUCCGGAAUUAUUGGGCGUAAAGCGCGCGCAGGCGGUCCUUUAAGUCUGAUGUGAAAGCCCACGGCUCAACCGUGGAAGGUCAUUGGAAACUGGAGGACUUGAGUACAGAAGAGGAAAGCGGAAUUCCACGUGUAGCGGUGAAAUGCGUAGAGAUGUGGAGGAACACCAGUGGCGAAGGCGGCUUUCUGGUCUGUAACUGACGCUGAGGCGCGAAAGCGUGGGGAGCAAACAGGAUUAGAUACCCUGGUAGUCCACGCCGUAAACGAUGAGUGCU
rnacentral:rRNA from 1 species